UCACUACUCCCUCUGUUCGGAAUUACUCAUCUAAAAAAUAGAUGUAUCUAGAUGUAUUUUAGUUGUAGAUACAUUCAUUUUUGUGACAAGUAAUUCCGAACGGAGAGAGUAAUUU
rnacentral:pre_miRNA from 1 species